GACAGAGGUGCCAAGCGUUAGGCGGAAUCACUGGGCUUAAAGCGUGUGUAGGCGGACUCGUAAGUACCUUGUGAAAUCCCACAGCUCAACUGUGGAACUGCUGGGUAUACUGCUUGUCUUGAGCCACUUAGGGGCUGUCGGAACAAACGGUGGAGCGGUGAAAUGCGUAGAUAUCCGGAGGAACACCAGUGGCGAAAGCGGCCACCUGGACUGCACCUGACGCUGACACGCGAAAGCUAGGGGAGCGAACGGG
rnacentral:rRNA from 1 species